UGAUUUUAAAUAGUGAUAUGGGCAAUGAAGACAAUCAAAGAGGGAAAUGCAGUCCAGAUUGAGGGUUUGGAAAUAUAAUGUGAUGUGAAACCAAGAGCAUAUUGAAGAGCACAUUAAGUCCUCUGUCAAAUCCAUUCUUGUUUUACGAUGUGAUCAUCUCAGAGUAACACACUCAUCAGCCUCACUCCACUGGGAUUUUAAGCUGGAAGCCAGAUGACAAAGGAGCCUGGGAACUGCAGCCUGGAACAACACCCCCACCCCAUAU